CUAGCGUUGCUCGGAAUCACUGGGCGUAAAGGGUGCGUAGGCGGGUCUUUAAGUCAGGGGUGAAAUCCUGGAGCUCAACUCCAGAACUGCCUUUGAUACUGAAGAUCUUGAGUUCGGGAGAGGUGAGUGGAACUGCGAGUGUAGAGGUGAAAUUCGUAGAUAUUCGCAAGAACACCAGUGGCGAAGGCGGCUCACUGGCACGAUACUGACGCUGAGGCACGAAAGCGUGGGGAGCAAACAGG
rnacentral:rRNA from 1 species